CCUACGGGUGGCUGCAGUCGAGAAUCUUCGGCAAUGCGCGCAAGCGUGACCGAGCGACGCCGUGUGUGGGAUGAAGGCCUUCGGGUUGUAAACCACUGUCGUAGAGGAGGAAGUUGAUUGGGGUUCUCCCCAGUCAUUGACCUAUUCUAGGAGGAAGGACGGGCUAAGUUCGUGCCAGCAGCCGCGGUAAUACGAACCGUCCAAGCGUUAUUCGGAAUGACUGGGCUUAAAGGGUACGUAGUCGGCGCUGCAAGCCCUCGGCUCAACCGAGGAAGUGCGCCCGAUACUGCAGUGCGUGAGGGAGACAGAGGUAAGCGGAACUGAUGGUGGAGCGGUGAAAUGCGUUGAUAUCAUCAGGAACACCAGUGGCGAAAGCGGCUUACUGGGUCUCUUCUGACGCUGAGGUACGAAAGCUAGGGGAGCGAAGGGGAUUAGAUACCCGUGUAGUC
rnacentral:rRNA from 1 species